UUUCUUCAUUUAUAAAAUGGGGAUAAUAAUAGUAUCUAUGUCAUAAAGCAGCAAGAAUUAAAUGAGUUAAUAUAUGUAAACGUGCUUAGAAUGGGAUCUGACACACAACUACUUACAAAUCUUAGAUAUUACUAUUAUCAUCACCAUUCAUAUUCUGUAGGUAGCAUAAGGCUGAGGAAUCACCCCAACUUGGGGGUGAGCAUCACUGAAGAUCCUAAGUCUCAUGUAACCUGAGCCAACAAAGAGUUAUGUGCAGGUAAGGAUACUCUCAAGUGAUCUAGUGGGGGUGGCUCCCUUUGCUUCAUGUGGAUUGGUGAGUAAGGAAAGCCUAUGAUGAUGAUGACCAUGAUGAUGAUGAUGAUGAUGAUGAUGAUUGAAGCAUGAUGCUGAGAGGAAGGGUUCACCCUAACCCGAUGACUGCAGGAGAGAAAGAGCCAACAAAGGAAUGAGGAAGCUCUUCCUGCACCCUAGUGAACAGGCUGACUUUCUAAUUAUCUGUGGACUGUGAAUCUCUGCCUUUGUAGAUCUGGAGUCAAAGCUGCCACCUAAACAACCAGAAGGAAAGGCACCAUCUUACACAAAAAGCAAACCUCAGGCCAGGCGCGGUGGCUCAUGCCUGUAAUCCCAGCACUUUGGAAGGCCGAGUUUUCAGAGGCACAGACAGCAGAGGAGCUACAUUUGCAGAGAAGAUGAUGAAGGAAGACAGCAGCUCACUGGAGAGUGAUUCCUGUGAGGGCAAGUUUUCAGGGACCGAGCACAGCAGGGACAAGGAAGCUGCCAGAAGCCACUCCCACUGCAAACAGUUCCAAAAAUAAGGGAAACUCAGCAAGGGAAAGAGGGUGGAGGGAAUGGCAAAGAGGUGGGCACCGAGGGCAGCUCCCAAAAAGGACAUUAGGGCAGGGAUUAGUUGCAAGAGGAGGAGAUGGAAGAGAUGAAAGUGGAAAGAGCUGACUCUAGAUUGGGGCAAGAUCAAGGGGACAUCAAGGGUCCUACCCAGCAGCAACACUAAGUCUCUGAAAUUAGAAUUGCAGGAUCAUCCAGGGAGCAGAAUCCUUCUACCUUUAGCUGCCUGAAACUUCACCAAGAUGUACAUAUUUGGACUUCAGGAACAUAAUUACAACUAUAUCCCCUGCUUGGAUUGCCAGACCUCUCCCACGUAUAGAUGGGACUAUUAUCCCAGCUCUGCCACCCCUACGCAGUUGAAAAAAAUACCAAAACAGAUAUCAGCGAUAUGGAUGUGAUAUUGUGAUAUAAUAAGAAAUAUAUAUUUGGUUUUCCUCCUUCAGUUUUGGCACAGUGGGUUCCAGCACACAGCUCCUAAAACCCUUAGAAUUUCCUAAGUGAGCCAGGUGCAGUGGUACAUGCCUGUAGUCCCAGUUUCUCAGGAGGCUGAGGUGGGAGGAUUGCACCUGUGAAUAGCCACUGUACUGAAGACUGGGUAACAUAGUGAGACCUUAUCUCUAGAAACAAAUUUUUUAGUUAAAAAAAAUUAAAGAAUAUCCUGAGUGUUAGGAGGGGAGCAUCUUUAUUAUUUGUAAUAAGCCCCUUUCUUCUUCUUCUUUUUUUUUUUUUUUUGAGAUGGAGUUUCACUCUUGUUGCCCAGGCUGGAGUCCAAUGGCGCUAUCUCAGCUCACCGCAACCUCCACCUCCCAGGUUCAAGCAAUUCUCCUGCCCCAGCCUCCCGAGUAGCUGGGAUUACAGGUAUGCGCCACCAUGCCUGGCUAAUUUUGUAUUUUUAGUAGAGAUGGGGUUUCUCCGUGUUGGUCAGGCUGGUCUCGAACUCCCAACCUCAGGUGAUCAGCCUGCCUUGGCCUCCCAAAAUGCUGGGAUUACAGGCGUGAGCCACCGCACCCGGCUUAAUAAGCCCCUUUCAACCUUAUCUGUGUUUAUGUUAAUGAGCCAACUCUCUGAGGAUGAAAGCCUGGUUGCCAGAGAAACCAACCUUGUGAUUAGAGGUUUGGAAAUUUCAGCGCCCGCCCCCCACCCCCCCAACCCCCACCAGGCCUUCAGGAAAGGCAGAGGGGACUGACUCAAUCAACAAUGGUCAAUGAUUCAGUCAACCAUGCCUACAUAAUAACGCCUCCAUGAGAACCCUAAACAAUGGGGCUUGAGAUUCGGAGAGCUUUCAGGUUGGUGAACACAUGGAGGUGCUGAGAGGUUGGCACACCAGAGAGGGCAUGGACGCCCCAUGCACCUCUUAUCCCCAUACUUUGCUUUAUGCAUCUCUUGCAUUUGUUUGUUCCUGAGUUGUAUCCUUUCUAAUAAAUCAGUAACAGUAAGUAAA